GAAGGCCCUUCGGGGUGCUCGAGUGGCGAACGGGUGAGUAACACGUGGGUGAUCUGCCCUGCACUUUGGGAUAAGCCUGGGAAACUGGGUCUAAUACCGAAUAGGACUCCGGACUGCAUGGUCUGGGGUGGAAAGCUUUUGCGGUGUGGGAUGGGCCCGCGGCCUAUCAGCUUGUUGGUGGGGUGAUGGCCUACCAAGGCGACGACGGGUAGCCGGCCUGAGAGGGUGACCGGCCACACUGGGACUGAGAUACGGCCCAGACUCCUACGGGAGGCAGCAGUGGGGAAUAUUGCACAAUGGGCGCAAGCCUGAUGCAGCGACGCCGCGUGAGGGAUGACGGCCUUCGGGUUGUAAACCUCUUUCAGCACAGACGAAGCGCGAGUGACGGUAUGUGCAGAAGAAGGACCGGCCAACUACGUGCCAGCAGCCGCGGUAAUACGUAGGGUCCGAGCGUUGUCCGGAAUUACUGGGCGUAAAGAGCUCGUAGGUGGUUUGUCGCGUUGUUCGUGAAAACUCACAGCUUAACUGUGGGCGUGCGGGCGAUACGGGCAGACUGGAGUACUGCAGGGGAGACUGGAAUUCCUGGUGUAGCGGUGGAAUGCGCAGAUAUCAGGAGGAACACCGGUGGCGAANGCGGGUCUCUGGGCAGUAACUGACGCUGAGGAGCGAAAGCGUGGGGGAGCGAACAGGAUUAGAUACCCUGGUAGUCCACGCCGUAAACGGUGGGGUACUAGGUGUGGGUUUCCUUCCUUGGGAUCCGUGCCGUAGCUAACGCAUUAAGUACCCCGCCUGGGGAGUACGGCCGCAAGGCUAAAACUCAAAGGAAUUGACGGGGGCCCGCACAAGCGGCGGAGCAUGUGGAUUAAUUCGAUGCAACGCGAAGAACCUUACCUGGGUUUGACAUGCACAGGACGCCGGCAGAGAUGUCGGUUCCCUUGUGGCCUGUGUGCAGGUGGUGCAUGGCUGUCGUCAGCUCGUGUCGUGAGAUGUUGGGUUAAGUCCCGCAACGAGCGCAACCCUUGUCUCAUGUUGCCAGCACGUUAUGGUGGGGACUCGUGAGAGACUGCCGGGGUCAACUCGGAGGAAGGUGGGGAUGANGUCAAGUCAUCAUGCCCCUUAUGUCCAGGGCUUCACACAUGCUACAAUGGCCGGUACAAAGGGUUGCGAUGCCGUGAGGUGGAGCGAAUCCUUUCAAAGCCGGUCUCAGUUCGGAUCGGGGUCUGCAACUCGACCCCGUGAAGUCGGAGUCGCUAGUAAUCGCAGAUCAGCANCGCNGCGGUGAAUACGUUCCCGGGCCUAGUACACACCGCCCGUCACGUCAUGAAAGUCGGUNACNCCCGAAGCCGGGGCCUAACCC
rnacentral:rRNA from 1 species